rnacentral:rRNA from 1 species
UACGUAGGCAGCGAGCGUUGUUCGGAAUUACUGGGCGUAAAGAGUGUGUAGGUGGUGCUCUAAGUUCGGUGUGAAAUCUCCCGGCUUAACUGGGAGGGUGCGCCGAAAACUGGAGUGCUCGAGCGUGGGAGAGGAAAGCGGAAUUCCUGGUGUAGCGGUGAAAUGCGUAGAUAUCUACAGGAACUCCGGUGGCGAAAGCGGCGUGCUGGACCUUUUCUGACGCUGAGGCGCGAAAGCUAGGGGAGCAAACGGG